rnacentral:rRNA from 1 species
UACGAAGGGGGCUAGCGUUGCUCGGAAUCACUGGGCGUAAAGCGCACGUAGGCGGCUUUUUAAGUCAGGGGUGAAAUCCUGGAGCUCAACUCCAGAACUGCCUUUGAUACUGAGAAGCUUGAGUCCGGGAGAGGUGAGUGGAACUGCGAGUGUAGAGGUGAAAUUCGUAGAUAUUCGCAAGAACACCAGUGGCGAAGGCGGACUCACUGGCCCGGUACUG